UUGUAAACACAUGCUUGGCAACGACCUUUGUGCACACGUGCACUCAAGCAGCUGUGUGGCCGGCCGUGGACGUACGUCCAAUGCAUAGUUCAUUGUGUACGGUACCAGUUUUGUAUACAAUUUAUACAGGAAGCUAGCGAGUUGGUCGUUCACUUCAUUCAAGUAUAAUCUAGUGACACUGCCAGUUGUUGUUCACCCCAUAGUUCUAUCGAGAUAAAAAAAAAGUUGGAAACCUAAAGCCCAUCUCUGAAGUACAUCAUGGACACAGAAUAUCUGAAGCGGAACUUGGGCAUUUGCUUGACCAGCGCCUUGGCUGAAGUUGCUGAGAAACGGCCCAUGGACCCAAUUGAGUACAUCGCACAGUGGCUCUACAAGUUCAAA